UCCCGGGCGGCUCAGACGGUAAAGCGUCUGCCUACAGUGCAGGAGACCUGGGUUCGAUCCCUGGGUCGGGAA
rnacentral:tRNA from 1 species